AAGCGGUGGUUUGUAAUUCCAUUUAUGGGGUGGAAAACUCCUCUUAUCA
rnacentral:tRNA from 1 species